GUGAGUAACGCGUGGGCAACCUGCCUCAUACAGGGGGAUAACAGUUAGAAAUGACUGCUAAUACCGCAUAAGACCGCGGUGCCGCAUGGCACAGCGGUAAAAACUCCGGUGGUAUGAGAUGGGCCCGCGUCUGAUUAGCUAGUUGGCGGGGUAACGGCCCACCAAGGCGACGAUCAGUAGCCGACCUGAGAGGGCGACCGGCCACAUUGGGACUGAUACACGGCCCAAACUCCUACGGGAGGCAGCAGUGGGGAAUAUUGCACAAUGGGGGAAACCCCUGAUGCAGCGACGCCGCGUGAGCGAUGAAGUAUUUCGGUAUGUAAAGCUCUAUCAGCAGGGAAGAAGAUGACGGUACCUGACUAAAAAGCCCCGGCUAACUACGUGCCAGCAGCCGCGGUAAUACGUAGGGGGCAAGCGUUAUCCGGAUUUACCGGGUGUAAAGGGAGC
rnacentral:rRNA from 1 species